GGGAGUUGCUGUGUGAGUCCCUUUUGGCAUUGGGGGGAGGGGGUUUCAGGUGUGGGCACCGUCUUGGAUAAUCUUAAUACUGGGUUUUCCCCGUGGUGAAUAACACGAGCUUGGUUUGCAACUCCCUGUUGCUUUACAAUUUUUGGUGGUUCUAUAUUCUGCUUCAUCCAAGUUUGAUAGCAGCUAGAGAUGUGUUAACACUACAAAUCCCAAGGAAUGAGAAUUUGAAACGUUGUACUCUGAACACAUCUGGUGGCUAUGAAGUCAGAGGAGGUGAUCACAUACUGUAUGUAGUGACAAACUGGAUCAUAUACUGUAUGUAGUGAUAAAGCAUCCUUUCUGAAAUCAUCUAGUCUUCAUUCUGGUCCUACACACCAGAACAACUAGACACAAGAACAGUUUUUUCCCGAAGGCCAUCACUCUGCUAAACAAUUAAUUCCCUCAACACUGUCAAACUAUUUACUAAAUCUGCACUACUAUUAAUCUUCUCAUCGUUCCCAUCACCAAUCUCUUUCCACUUAUGACUGUAUGACUGUAACUUUGUUGCUGGCAAUCCUUAUGAUUUAUAUUGAUAUAUUGACCACCAAUUGUAUUGUAAAUGUUGUACCUUGAUGCAUGUAUCUUUUCUUUUAUGUACACUGAGAGCAUAUGCACCAAGACAAAUUCCUUGUAUGUCCAAUCACACUUGACCAAUAAAAAAAAAAAUCUAUUCUAUUCUAAUUCUAUUCUAUUCUAUACUUUCUUCCCAAGGUUAGAACUUGGUAGCAGUUCCCAUUUCUACCACUGAAUUUCCCAAGAGAUGCCUUACCUCUGGUGUGUGAGAGAAAUAAGACUUCCAUAGUCUGCUGCCUUUCUGUAAAUAGAUGACAAGAAUGAAAUAAUUAUUCUAGCACCAUGUCCUAAAGAUAGUAUUAAAGAUAUCGGUCUGCCUACCUUUUGUGAGAUUGAAUAAUCUCACAAGAGAUAAAGAAAAGCCAAACUUUACUUAAAAAGAAAAAUCUAUGAAAUCACAUAUCAACUUUAAAAUUAUAAAAUUAUAAAAUACAGUCUUGCAGGAUCUACAAUAUAUUGCUGUCCAGUGUACAAUAGAAUAGCGGUCCCCAAACUUUGUGACUGGGCAGCCUGGCUUGUGGUGGGGGAGAGGGGAACUGGACCACAAGAGUGGUGGGCUGGUGCGCACACGCAUGUACAUGUAGCUCGACUAGUUGAAAUGUGCUGCAUGUGCAUCCUGCCAGGCUGCCACUCAUGUGAGUCAAGCUGCAUGGAUGAGUGCCUGCCACUGGCACA